GGAUCACAGCGUUUCAGAUGAGGAACAUCCUACAGCCCUCCGCUCUACCAACUGAGCUAUCAGGGUUUUCUCUAGUCACAAUUGCAGAAAACAUAGUGGCUGAGACAACACCCUAUGCCCACACAACUAUUGGAACCCAUAGUCAAUCAAAAGCCCAGCCCUACCUGCAGAACAAAGCUUUGCAGCUUGUACCCAACAGUCAUUGCCAGGGACCCAGAACUGAUAAUCAAGACUUUUAGGCUGGGUGAAUAAAAAACUGAUGGUUGGAAAAUUAAGUUAUGUGGUUUGUGUUUUUAAAUAUUGGAGGAGUUGACAGAUAAAGACAAGGCUUGGCUUUAUUUCAAUUUGACAUGCACAGGCUUGGAGCUGGAGUUGAACCGGCGACUUCAGGAUCACAGCGUUUCAGAUGAGGAACAUCCUACAGCCCUCCGCUCUACCAACUGAGCUAUCAGGGUGUUCUCUAGUCACAAUUGCAGACAACAUAGUGGCUGAGACAACACCCUAUGCCCACACAACUAUUGGAACCCAUAGUCAAUCAAAAGCCUAGCCCUACCUGCAGAACAAAGCUUUGCAGCUUGUACCCAACAGUCAUUGCCAGGGACCCAGAACGGAUAAUCAAGACUUUUAGGCUGGGUGAAUAAAAAACUGAUGGUUGGAAAAUUAAGUUAUGUGGUUUGUGGUUUUAAAUAUUGGAGGAGUUGACAGAUAAAGACAAGGCUUGGCUUUAUUUCAAUUUGACAUGCACAGGCUUGGAGCUGGAGUUGAACCGGCGACUUCAGGAUCACAGCGUUUCAGAUGAGGAACAUCCUACAGCCCUCCGCUCUACCAGCUGAGCUAUCAGGGUGUUCUCUAGUCACAAUUGCAGACAACAUAGUGGCUGAGACAACACCCUAUGCCCACACAACUAUUGGAACCCAUAGUCAAUAAAAAGCCUAGCCCUACCUGCAGAACAAAGCUUUGCAGCUUGUACCCAACAGUCAUUGCCAGGGACCCAGAACUGAUAAUCAAGACUUUUAGGCUGGGUGAAUAAAAAACUGAUGGUUGGAAAAUUAAGUUAUGUGGUUUGUGGUUUUAAAUAUUGGAGGAGUUGACAGAUAAAGACAAGGCUUGGCUUUAUUUCAAUUUGACAUGCACAGGCUUGGAGCUGGAGUUGAACCGGCGACUUCAGGAUCACAGCGUAUCAGAUGAGGAGCAUCCUACAGCCCUCCGCUCUACCAACUGAGCUAUCAGGGUGUUCUCUAGUCACAAUUGCAGACAACAUAGUGGCUGAGACAACACCCUAUGCCCACACAACUAUUGGAACCCAUAGUCAAUCAAAAGCCCAGCCCUACCUGCAGAACAAAGCUUUGCAGCUUGUACCCAACAGUCAUUGCCAGGGACCCAGAACUGAUAAUCAAGACUUUUAGGCUGGUUGAAUAAAAAAUUGAUGGUUGGAAAAUUAAGUUAUGUGUUUUUAAAUAUUGGAGGAGUUGACAGAUAAAGACAAGGCUUGGCUUUAUUUCAAUUUGACAUGCACAGGCUUGGAGCUGGAGUUGAACCGGCGACUUCAGGAUCACAGCGUUUCAGAUGAGGAACAUCCUACUGCCCUCCGCUCUACCAACUGAGCUAUCAGGGUGUUCUCUAGUCACAAUUGCAGAAAACAUAGUGGCUGAGACAACACCCUAUGCCCACACAACUAUUGGAACCCAUAGUCAAUCAAAAGCCCAGCCCUACCUGCAGAACAAAGCUUUGCAGUUUGUACCCAACAGUCAUUGCCAGGGACCCAGAACUGAUAAUCAAGACUUUUAGGCUGGUUGAAUAAAAAAUUGAUGGUUGGAAAAUUAAGUUAUGUGGUUUGUGGUUUUAAAUAUUGGAGGAGUUGACAGAUAAAGACAAGGCUUGGCUUUAUUUCAAUUUGACAUGCACAGGCUUGGAGCUGGAGUUGAACCGGCGACUUCAGGAUCACA